UGUAAAAAAUUUCCGUAAUUUCACAGCAAAAACCUACGUAAAAUUUACGUAGACCAUUCUGUUUUAUGAAAAACGGCGGGAUUCUACGUAAAAAAGACGGACGUGAGCUCCGUUUAUGAAAAACGGCGGGAUUCUACGUAAAAAAGACGGACGUGAGCUCCGUUUUUGAAAUACGGAGAGCCGUCCGUAAUUUCAUGAGGAGGGCAACUGAACAUGUUACUAGUGAAAAAUGAACACGCAAAGAAUAUAACGAAAAGACACUGUCUACUCUCACUGCCAGUUACAUAUAUCACCAUAGAUAACGCUGUUUGAACAUUAUUUGCGUGCGAGCAUAGUAAACACACAAAAAGAAGCAGGUAGGGUUUGAGCGGUGGCGCUGCUUACCACCCCUUCAUCGCGCCUACACGCUGGGUUGGAUUCCUCCAGCACAAACAACUGUACGAGUACUCGCUAAUGGCGGACGGUGGAGGUGGUGUUCCUGUCGCAUUUGUGAUUUCACACUAAAUAGGAAGGAAUCGGCGCUGGAUUGUUACACAACUGUUGCACCAGUGAAGGAUGUCUGUGUGCCGCCUUGCAUUCAGUUUCUCAGUCAUGGGGGGCCUGCUUGCAACACCAGUGGUAAUGCAGUCUUGCAUUGUGCUAUUUGUUCUGGAAGGACACAAGCAUUGAGGAGCCAUUUGACCUGCCACUACACUGAUACGGUAUUUGGUAGGUUCUAUUACAGGUUUUCUUUCGUGUAGUAGUACCUGCUAUAAUUCUGUAUAACGUGUUCAGACCUUUAGUCAGCAGGCUGUUUGACAACAGGUAUUUACAAAUGAAUAACUAACAAGAUUUUCAAGGUCAUUAGUGAUACAAUCGUUGCACACUGCUGCAUUUUUCUGCAAAUUAAUUGAUGAGCCAUCCAGCAAGUGCUGCUCUCCUGCCUUAAUGCACAAACCUUCAAAUACUGUUAACCCUAUAUCACAAGUGUACAGCAAAUGGAGAUGACUGUUCACAGCGACAAGUUCAUAAUGUUUACUUACAUGCAAAAGGGAGUCAAACGUCAGGUACACAUUUGAAGUUUUCCAAAACAAGUUCGUCAUCAUAGUGCAUAAAUGAACAAGUAACUUAGCGCAAUAAAAAUACACAGGCACAAGAAAGGGAGACAAAGACAAGCGCUUGGUGACUCAGAAGUGUGUGACAUAUAUGUUCCAACCAAUUAUUAUUUUCUAAAUUUUCUUCUACUGAUCCAGGAUUCCUAUGACUACUUGCCUUAGGUAACAUACUCUGUUGCCUUCUUGCCCUAGAAAACAUAACUAGUGCCUUCUUGCAGCCCUUUAAACUGGCAACAUCUUCACCACCGACAGUAGAGCAUGUUCAGAUAAAUUCAACUAGACAUGCCUGGUGACCACUUAAUUUUGGUGAACAAAUUUUAUUUUGUGCCCGAGCCUGACAAUGAAAUCAAUGAUAUCUUCUAUUUUGUUGUAGCGCAAGCUGAACGACAAGGACAACAGAAAGGCAAAUUUGAGGCACAGCCAGCGCUAACGUUCAACAACAGAUUCGUUUCCAGUUCUCAUCACUAUAUAUACCCUGAAAACGUCAUACAACACGUGUAAAAGCUCGGUAAACAUGAACUAAAAAAAAACGGGAACCACACGCAUGCAGUUUUUUAGCCACAUAGAUUGACAGACAUGUAGACGUUUAACGCGAACAAAGAUCGCAUCAUCUUCCACCUGCUUCUACUCAUGAUAACUGUUUUUUUUUAAUCUAGGUUUGCGCUUGCAUCUUUGGCAAUGAAGGGCAAGAAAACCAUCAGCAGCCAGGUAUUUACUUUGUUAUUGUGUUCUCGUAGCCUGUCAUUUACACAUCUACCAGUUUGACCAAUGUAGGACCGUCCACACUCAAAGGAAUGUCGUAUAAAACACACGUGAUGCAAUCAAUGAAUUUGUUUUUAUGUUCAUUUUCGCAUGCAGUAUCCGCAAUUCUUUCUGGCUUUGUCUUCCUUCACAG